GAUGAACGCUAGCGGCAGGCUUAACACAUGCAAGUCGAGGGGCAGCACGUCUUCGGAUGGUGGCGACCGGCGCACGGGUGAGUAACGCGUAUGCAAUCUACCUUUUACAGGGGCAUAGCCCGGGGAAACCCGGAUUAAUAUCCUAUAGUACCAUUAUAUAGCAUUAUAUUAUGGUUAAAGUUUCGGCGGUAAAAGAUGAGCAUGCGUCCUAUUAGCUUGAUGGUAAGGUAACGGCUUACCAUGGCUAUGAUAGGUAGGGGUCCUGAGAGGGAGACCCCCACACUGGUACUGAGACACGGACCAGACUCCUACGGGAGGCAGCAGUGAGGAAUAUUGGACAAUGGGCGCAAGCCUGAUCCAGCCAUGCCGCGUGCAGGAAGACGGCCCUAUGGGUUGUAAACUGCUUUUAUACGGGAAGAAACACCCCUUCGUGAAGGGACUUGACGGUACCGUAUGAAUAAGGAUCGGCUAACUCCGUGCCAGCAGCCGCGGUAAUACGGAGGAU
rnacentral:rRNA from 1 species